GACGUAGGAUGCGAGCGUUAUUCGGAUUUAUUGGGCGUAAAGCGUGCGUAGGCGGCUGUUUAAGUCUGGUGUUAAAGCUAGGGGCUCAACCCCUGUGGUGCAUCGGAUACUGGGCAGCUUGAGUGCGGUAGGGGAAGGUGGAAUUCCGAGUGCAGCGGUGAAAUGCGUAGAUAUUCGGAAGAACACCGGUGGCGAAGGCGACCUUCUGGGCCGCAACUGACGCUGAGGCACGAAAGCCUGGGGAGCGAACGGG
rnacentral:rRNA from 1 species